UCGUGUUUGACGUCACUGCUGCAGCAGAAGUGCUGGGUGUUGGAAAAAAUGCAUUCAACAACUUGAGUUCAGUGUCACCGUGCUACUUUUUAUUAAGUCCAAGAAGCCCAAAGCUGAUAAGACUGGCAAUUGAUCCAAAAGCUUAUUGUAACAGACGAUUGCAUCAUCACAAUAUUAAAGGUUCAAUAUACAGUCAGCCUCUCAUAAGAAAAAAUCCAAAGAUCCUAGGCUUGUUUCAAAGUUAAGAGAUCAUUCUGUGCCACAAAGAAAUUGUUCAGGAAGGGGAGAACUGGUGUAUUUGCAUUUUUGGUACAGUUCAAAGAGAUUUUCAAAUGGUCAGAUCAGAGGGAGGACAACUGAAAAUAU